rnacentral:rRNA from 1 species
GACGUAGGGCGCGAGCGUUGUCCGGAUUUAUUGGGCGUAAAGAGCUCGUAGGCGGCUUGUCGCGUCGACUGUGAAAACCCGUGGCUCAACCAUGUGGUCUGCAGUCGAUACGGGCAGGCUAGAAUUCGGUAGGGGAGACUGGAAUUCCUGGUGUAGCGGUGAAAUGCGCAGAUAUCAGGAGGAACACCGGUGGCGAAGGCGGGUCUCUGGGCCGACACUGACGCUGAGGAGCGAAAGCGUGGGGAGCGAACAGG